UACGUAGGGUGCAAGCGUUAAUCGGAAUUACUGGGCGUAAAGCGUGCGCAGGCGGUGAUGUAAGACCGAUGUGAAAUCCCCGGGCUUAACCUGGGAACUGCAUUGGUGACUGCAUUGCUAGAGUAUGGCAGAGGGGGGUGGAAUUCCACGUGUAGCAGUGAAAUGCGUAGAUAUCAGGGGGAACACCGGUGGCGAAGGCGACCACCUGGACGGAGAUUGACGCUGAGGCGCGAAAGCGUGGGGAGCAAACAGG
rnacentral:rRNA from 1 species